rnacentral:lncRNA from 1 species
GUGAAGGGUGGGCUCCCUGUACCUACCUCUGUCCCCUUUAAAGCUACAGGCCAUGCCGUAGGAGCACCAGGUCUCUAAAGCUACUAGAGACCUGGUGCUCCUUACGGUGUUCUUGCUGUCCCCAGAGCUGCUCUGCUGGCUCCCCAGGCACCUGGGCGGGCAGGACUGUGCCCCUUGUUCUCAGAAGUUUUCCUUCUGUUAGUUCUCCCUUAGCUUCUGGAGGGCCAGUGGGAACUGGGGAGACGGAGGGAACACCUUCUCCCUUAGUUUGUGCCUCACUGCCCGGGCUUGUGCCUCGGUAGUGAAUGGGAAGUGGGGAGCAAUCACUUCCCAGGGGACUCCGGAGAAGCUGAGGCUUGUGACAGGCACAGAAAAACAUUUAGUCAAUAGAACUGGCCAGGAGGUCCCCUGGGACAGUAGGUUCAGGAAGAAAGGAGGGAGAGAGAAGGAGCCUAGGGAGGAAGGGAAAAUGUCCUGAUUCUUCCUAACUGUCCAUGGUUUGAGAUUUGGGUUGGAAUUCCAGCCCAGGGCUUGGGCAGGUCCUGUCUGCCAUGUUUUCAAUUAUGGCUUCAACCUGAGGGUCUAUCGCCCCAGGCCUGGACUUGAGGACUAUGGAGGGUUGGGGAGAGUCCUGCCUGGUCUUUCCAAGAAUGCAGGGAACAUGGAGGCAAGCAGACCAGGGGCCCAGGCAGGCCUCAUCCUGGGAACCACACAUUCCAUCCUAGAGUGAAGAGUGGACUGGGUUGGGGCGGUCAUUCAGCCUGGACACCGCCUGUGCACAACCACCUGAUUGGCCAACAGCUCUAGCCACCCAGUCCCUUCCUGAGUUCCCUGGGCCUUUGUAUAAUCCAGAAACGAAGGCCAUUAUGCUUGGCCAAACAUAUGCCCACAGCUCUAUGUGUACUGUGCCCGACCCAGAAUAGCUGUGAAAUGUUUUGGCCAUCGUCCUUGGCUGAGUGGGGGAUGGGGCCCCACAGGGUCUUGGGGAAGCCAGCAGCAGGCGGGCAACCCUGAGAGUGCCCUGCCCUGCCUCUCCUGAGGCUUAAGGCCGUGUUCUGGAAGGAGAUGGGUCUGAGCAAGUCGACUGGCACGCAGGGAGAGGUAGGCAGGAUGGGCUCCUCCGAGGACCCCACUCAGGCAUGGCUCACACCAGCUGAGUCCUCUGGGGAGCCCCACCUGGAACGAGGGAGCUGUGAGCCUCGCUAGGAGGGAAGCUCAGCUUCUGAUGUGCUCCAGUGGGGUGACACCUCAUUUCUGCACCCCUCCCUGAUACGGAGUGGCUCCACAGCCAGUCAGUUGGCUUUUGGUGACAGAAGCCCUGUGUAUUCUAAAGUUGCCUGGCUCAAUGCUGGGUCCCUCACGUGGCCCUUGGAGAGGUAGAAGGAGCCCCAGGCUGUGAGUUGAGAUAUGUGAGUUUAGGUCUCACUUCUAGGUACGGCUUCAGCCAACUCUGGGCCUCUUUCCGCUCAUUUGGCCAGGGAAUGGGUUUUCAAAUUUCUUCUUGAGCGGUGCAGCCUUUUCUUCAAACGAAAUUCCAAGUGAGAUGCCAAUAAAUGGAGCAGAGAAAACUGGAGGUGCUGUGUCUGCCCCGCUCUCUCCAAAGAUCCUGAGGCUCCUAGGAACAUGUCUGAUGGUCUCCUGAUGCAGAGAUCCUUUGAUUAACUGCUUCACUAUUUAUCUCAAGGUUAUUAGGCCAGGAAGUUUCUGGAAGCUGAGGGGAGGAACCCGCCCCCCCAUCCCUUGCAAUUCUGGGUCUGGGAAGGCAGGCAGGACGGCGGGGGUGACCCACUCAGGGGGAAAACCAUUAACUGACUUUACCUUUGUGAACCAUCCUGGGGGGUCCAGGGCAGGGGCCAGGCUUCCGGCCCAAGCCCAGAGGGCCACUGGGGGAAGGAACCCUUCUUGCUGACAGGGGACAUCUAUGGUCCCUGCCUCUUUUUUCUCUGAUUUUCCUGAAGGAACCUGCAUUGUAGCCAACUUGGUGACAAACUGGUGACAUAGUUGCUCUAAAGAAAGGCAAAAGCAGGAACCAAGCCAACAUAUACCCCCACCCAAGUCAUCUCUGGCCUGCAUCGUGUGACUUCUUUCUUUCUUUCCUUCCUUCCUUUCUUUCUUUGUCUCCCUUUCUCUUUCUUUAUUUCUUUUCCUAGGGUUUGAGGAGCAGUAAGCCCAUUCCCCUAGUCCUUUCUGUUGGCCAGAUGUUUGUGGGUUUGCAUUCUCUUAAGAAUUUGCUCACUCAAGGUGGGUAGGGACAGGAGAAAGGGCAGUAGCAUUUGGUGACCACCCCCACCCCUCCAUUUUAGGCUAGGAAUUUAGCUUGUAUUCACUGUCUCCAUCUAUCUUUCCAAAAUUCUGGCAGGUAAAUGCCACAACUCCCAUUUUACAGAUGAGAAGACUGAGGCUCAGACAGACACAGUGUCUUGCCCCAAGUCUCACAGCUUGGAAGAAGUGAGCCAAGAUUUGACCCUUG